UUUUUUUCAUCUAAGUUAAAAAACAUUGUGCGGUACUUUGAUAGAAAUUUUAAAAUGAAACAACGCGAACAGUUAAUUGAGUGUUUUCCGUGUACGUAGAAACAAUUUUCAAGUCAUAUUUUUGUACUAUCGACUCUUUACGACCGAAAGCUGAGCGCUUUUUUUUUCCAUCGCAGAUGGAUAACUAUUUUUUGGACACGGUUUUCGGGACACGAAAGAAAACUAUGAACGGCGAACGGCGCCGAAAAGUUAAAAUGGUCAACUUAGGCAUGCAUUUUACGUUCCACGUCCCACUAUAUUUCAUUCGAUAGACGUGUAAAAAAAACAAUAGAGGAUUAUUGAAACCAAAUUUUGACUAUGAAACGGAAACGUGAACCAUACACGCAAAGUAUGUAGGGA